UACGGAGGGUGCAAGCGUUAUCCGGAUUCACUGGGUUUAAAGGGUGCGUAGGUGGGCAAGUAAGUCAGUGGUGAAAUCUCCGGGCUUAACCCGGAAACUGCCAUUGAUACUAUUUGUCUUGAAUACUGUGGAGGUCAGCGGAAUAUGUCAUGUAGCGGUGAAAUGCUUAGAUAUGACAUAGAACACCAAUUGCGAAGGCAGCUGGCUACACAAAUAUUGACGCUGAGGCACGAAAGCGUGGGGAUCAAACAGG
rnacentral:rRNA from 1 species